UAGCACCUUAUAGACCAACUAAGUUUGUUCUGGUAUAAGCUUUCGUGUGCAUGCACACUUCUUCAGUGCUUCUUAAAAACUGAACAUGAACACUUAUACCAGAACAAACCGAGUUGGUCUAUAAGGUGCUA